rnacentral:rRNA from 1 species
ACUACCUUAGGAUGGGAUAACUUGGGAAACUGAGGAUAAUACCGGAUAGGCAAUUAUUCCUGCAAUGGUUUUUUGUUUAAAUGUUUUUUCGCCUAAGGAUGGGUCUGCGGCCGAUUAGGUAGUUGGUUAGGUAAUGGCUUACCAAGCCGUUGAUCGGUACGGGUUGUGAGAGCAAGAGCCCGGAGAUGGAACCUGAGACAAGGUUCCAGGCCCUACGGGGUGCAGCAGGCGCGAAACCUCCGCAAUGUGAGAAAUCGCGACGGGGGGAUCCCAAGUGCCAUUCUUAACGGGAUGGCUUUUCAUUAGUGUAAGGAGCUUUUGGAAUAAGAGCUGGGCAAGACCGGUGCCAGCCGCCGCGGUAACACCGGCAGCUCUAGUGGUAACAAUUUUUAUUGGGCCUAAAGCGUCCGUAGCCGGUUUAAUAAGUCUCUGGUGAAAUCCUGUAGCUUAACUGUGGGAAUUGCUGGAGAUACUAUUAGACUUGAGACCGGGAGAGGUUAGAGGUACUCCCAGGGUAGAGGUGAAAUUCUGUA